rnacentral:rRNA from 1 species
AGUGAACGCUGGCGGUAGGCCUAACACAUGCAAGUCGAACGGCAGCACAGUAAGAGCUUGCUCUUACGGGUGGCGAGUGGCGGACGGGUGAGGAAUACAUCGGAAUCUACCUUUUCGUGGGGGAUAACGUAGGGAAACUUACGCUAAUACCGCAUACGACCUACGGGUGAAAGCAGGGGAUCUUCGGACCUUGCGCGAUUGAAUGAGCCGAUGUCGGAUUAGCUAGUUGGCGGGGUAAAGGCCCACCAAGGCGACGAUCCGUAGCUGGUCUGAGAGGAUGAUCAGCCACACUGGAACUGAGACACGGUCCAGACUCCUACGGGAGGCAGCAGUGGGGAAUAUUGGACAAUGGGCGCAAGCCUGAUCCAGCCAUACUGCGUGGGUGAAGAAGGCCUUCGGGUUGUAAAGCCCUUUUGUUGGGAAAGAAAAGCAGCAGGUUAAUACCCCGCUGUUCUGACGGUACCCAAAGAAUAAGCACCGGCUAACUUCGUG